rnacentral:rRNA from 1 species
CCUACGGGGGGCUGCAGUGGGGAAUCUUCCGCAAUGGACGAAAGUCUGACGGAGCAACGCCGCGUGAGUGAAGAAGGUUUUCGGAUCGUAAAGCUCUGUCUUUUGGGACGAAUGUGCUGUAGGUGAAUAAUCUGUAGCAAUGACGGUACUAAAGGAGGAAGCCACGGCUAACUACGUGCCAGCAGCCGCGGUAAUACGUAGGUGGCGAGCGUUGUCCGGAAUUAUUGGGCGUAAAGGUGUCGUACGCGGAUAAAAGUGCAGGGCUCAACCCUGUGAGGGGUCAGAAACUAUAGAUCUUGAGUGCAGGAGAGGAAAGUGGAAUUCCCAGUGUAGCGGUGAAAUGCGUAGAUAUUGGGAGGAACACCAGUGGCGAAGGCGACUUUCUGGACUGUGUCUGACGCUGAGGCGCGAAAGCCAGGGGAGUGAACGGGAUUAGAUACCCCAGUAGUC